GCCGGAUGUGGUGGCGCACGCUUGUAAUCCCAGCAACUCGGGAGGCUGAGGCAAGAGGAUCUCGAGUUCAAAGCCAGCCUCAGCCAAAAUGAGGAGGUGCUAAGCAACUCAGUGAGAUCCUGUCGCUA
rnacentral:sRNA from 1 species